GACACAGGGUGUCAUCGAGGCUCUUGUUGAACUAUAUAACCCAGGUUGGCUUGAACCUCUAGUCAAAGACUAAUACCCUUCCAUUGUGGCUUACCUCCAGAUGUGCUCGGAAGUGUUGUACUCAUAGCAUCAUUUUCUUUGUCACUUGUCUCGCUAGACACCUGUUCACCUGCCUCUUCAAGCUUGUCACCUGAAACUUCAUCUGAGGAUACUUCAGAAGACUGGUCACUCGAGGACUGUUCAGUUACAGGUUGUUCACUUGAAGUGUGCUCAGUAGAAGUGUGCUCCUCUGAAGUGUGCUCGGUGAAAGCAUGCUCUCCCGAAGUGUGCUCCCCCGAAGUAUGCUCCCCCGAAGUGUGCUCCCCCGAAGUGUGCUCCCCCGAAGUGUGUUCUGACAAGUGUUCUUCUGACGUGUGCUCACUUGAAAUGUGUUCUGAAGACUGUUCUCCUGAAGAGUGCUCACCUGCAGAAUGUUCAGCUACAGCAUGCUCACUUGAUUCAUGGUCACUUGAACUAUGACCACUCAGACUCUUCUCACGUGAAGGAGUUUCAUAUAAAGACUCGGCAUCUGAAGGGUUUGUGAGUGAGAAAUGUUCACUUGAAAGUUGCUGAACUGAAGCUUGGUGGUCUACAGAGUCAAGAAGCUCAUCAGGCUGACCUGGUGGUGCUCCUAAGAUGUAGGAGAAAUACAAGAAUGGUGAAGAUAGAAUGGGAUCAAGACUAAAUUCCUGUGGAGCCCGACAAGUGGGACUGCUGCAUUUCCUGGCAGGUUUAGAUGAGACACUUAAAGAUAGUUUAGAUGUCAGGAGAGGUCAUCUACUCCAAGUAGUUUAAGACAGAAGCGUUUAAAUAAGUUGGAGACCACUGCUAAGACUUAAAGACAUAAGAAUUACAUGUGGAAUCCUCCCACUUAGGCAUGGAAAGUACAUGAGAAGAAGUGAAUGUCCCUACCUGACAGAGGCAGAAUCAGAAACCAAAGGACCCUCAUUCAUGUCAUCAGAAGUCAGCCACCAACCCUUUCUCCAAUUCCUCUAUGGGUAAAAGGCAAGAAGAAUAGAGACACAGAAAGAGAAGGCAAAUAGUCCUCUUCCCCUGCAACAAGGUCUGUCUGUGAGGUCCCGGAUCCCUUCCAAUUACAGACGUUCUCCCUCUUCUGCCUCCUGAGUGUAGGAGUUACAGGGGCAGAAGUACAUUAAAAGAAGCCCCCCUUUGGUGCCCACCCAGUGUUUGUUUAAAGAGAAGACUUACCUCUGGCAGAUCCAAGCAGAUAAAGACCCAGUAAGAUUAACUCCUUCAUUUUGAUUUAGGAAAAGAAAGAUCUCUAAUGUGGUGCACUCAAGAACUGAGAAGAAACUGAGCAAAUGCUCCCAGUGUUGAACCAGAGCCUCUGGCAGUUCUAGAACUUGAGACACAAUCUAUGUGUCCUCACAAUGGGUUGUACCUCUUAAUCCUGUUCAGGCAGGCUGGUUCUGUAACCCAUGGCAAUGCCACUAAAGAGUAUUUUCUGUGUGCAGAAAA